rnacentral:rRNA from 1 species
AGUGAACGCUGGCGGCAGGCCUAACACAUGCAAGUCGAGCGGCAGCGCGGUGUAGCAAUACACUGGCGGCGAGCGGCGGACGGGUGAGGAAUGCGUCGGAAUCUGCCUCUUUGUGGGGGAUAACGUAGGGAAACUUACGCUAAUACCGCAUACGACCUACGGGUGAAAGUGGGGGACCGCAAGGCCUCACGCAGAGAGAUGAGCCGACGCCGGAUUAGCUAGUUGGCGGGGUAAAGGCCCACCAAGGCGACGAUCCGUAGCUGGUCUGAGAGGAUGAUCAGCCACACUGGAACUGAGACACGGUCCAGACUCCUACGGGAGGCAGCAGUGGGGAAUAUUGGACAAUGGGCGCAAGCCUGAUCCAGCCAUGCCGCGUGUGUGAAGAAGGCCUUCGGGUUGUAAAGCACUUUUGUCCGGAAAGAAAAGCAUUCGGUUAAUAACCGGGUGUCAUGACGGUACCGGAAGAAUAAGCACCGGCUAACUUCGUGCCAGCAGCCGCCGUAACAC